GCCUGACUGGCUCAACUGGAAGAGCAAGAGACUCUUGAUCUUGGUGUCGUGUGUUCGAGCCCCAUAUUGGGCA
rnacentral:tRNA from 1 species